GACGAACGCUGGCGGCGUGCUUAACACAUGCAAGUCGAACGGAAAGGCCCUGCUUUUGUGGGGUGCUCGAGUGGCGAACGGGUGAGUAACACGUGAGUAACCUGCCCUUGACUUUGGGAUAACUUCAGGAAACUGGGGCUAAUACCGGAUAGGAGCUCCUGCUGCAUGGUGGGGGUUGGAAAGUUUCGGCGGUUGGGGAUGGACUCGCGGCUUAUCAGCUUGUUGGUGGGGUAGUGGCUUACCAAGGCUUUGACGGGUAGCCGGCCUGAGGGUGACCGUCCACAUUGGGACUGAGAUACGGCCCAGACUCCUACGGGAGGCAGCAGUGGGGAAUAUUGCACAAUGGGCGGAAGCCUGAUGCAGCAACGCCGCGUGCGGGAUGACGGCCUUCGGGUUGUAAACCGCUUUCGCCUGUGACGAAGCGUGAGUGACGGUAAUGGGUAAAGAAGCACCGGCUAACUACGUG
rnacentral:rRNA from 1 species